rnacentral:rRNA from 1 species
CAGGGGGUGCAAACGUUGCUCGGAAUUAUUGGGCGUAUAGCGCGCGUAGGCGGCUACUUAAGUCGGAUGUGAAAGCCCCUGGCUCAACUGGGGAAGUGCACCCGAAACUGAGUGGCUUGAGUGCGAAAGAGGGUCGCGGAAUUCCCGGUGUAGAGGUGAAAUUCGUAGAUAUCGGGAGGAACACCGGUGGCGAAGGCGGCGACCUGGGUCGACACUGACGCUGAGGCGCGAAAGCGUGGGGAGCAAACAGGAUUAGAUACCCUGGUAGUCCACGCCGUAAACGAUGGGUGCUAGAUGUUUCUGGUAUUGACCCCGGAGGCGUCGUAGCUAACGCGUUAAGCACCCCGCCUGGGAAGUACGGCCGCAAGGCUA